UUCCGUAGGGUGAACCUGCGGAGGGAUCAUUACUGAGUUUACGCUCUACAACCCUUUGUGAACAUACCUACAACUGUUGCUUCGGCGGGUAGGGUCUCCGCGACCCUCCCGGCCUCCCGCCUCCGGGCGGGUCGGCGCCCGCCGGAGGAUAACCAAACUCUGAUUUAACGACGUUUCUUCUGAGUGGUACAAGCAAAUAAUCAAAACUUUUAACAACGGAUCUCUUGGUUCUGGCAUCGAUGAAGAACGCAGCGAAAUGCGAUAAGUAAUGUGAAUUGCAGAAUUCAGUGAAUCAUCGAAUCUUUGAACGCACAUUGCGCCCGCCAGCAUUCUGGCGGGCAUGCCUGUUCGAGCGUCAUUUCAACCCUCAAGCUCUGCUUGGUGUUGGGGCCCUACAGCCGAUGUAGGCCCUCAAAGGUAGUGGCGGACCCUCCCGGAGCCUCCUUUGCGUAGUAACUUUACGUCUCGCACUGGGAUCCGGAGGGACUCUUGCCGUAAAACCCCCCAAUUUUCCAAAGGUUGACCUCGGAUCAGGUAGGAAUACCCGCUGAACUUAAGCAUAUCAAUAAGGCGGAGGAA
rnacentral:rRNA from 1 species